UUGCCUUCAAGUGUCCACUGGCUCCUCUCAGUCACAGCUGUACAAAUCACAGGACUCUCACCAGCAUGAGACAUAUAUAUUAUUCAUCUAUCUAGUUUCAUCUAAAGGAAAUCCAAUAAAGACAAAAUUUUACUUUCCAGUGAAAUAUCCAAAGCUGCUUUUUCCCCACAAGAAACUGGGCCGAAAACUCCAUCCAUGAUCUAUAAUACCACUUUCUUGGCAACAUGUCUCAUUCCCCACUAUAUCUUCAUGCACAGCACUUAGUAAAAUCUCCGUAAAUAACUGUGGAAUGAAUGAAUGAAUCUACGUGGAAAUCUAUGGAUCCUUAAGUAUGAAGCAUGCUGUUCUAGUAAGAUGGAACACUCUGACUUGGAAACAUAAUUCCAUGCAGUUGAGUUGUCCUAACCUGGAUGUUUCACUGAGCAUUUCUGAGCAGUUACAUGAGGAAGUGGCUGUUUCCCCCGGCAGCUGGGCUCUGAAUCUCCAUCACUGGAGAAGCAAUUUCCAGUGCUACAAACAUCUGGAGAGCUGGCUGAUUACAACACACACACACACACAACCUUGAACUUCCAUUUGGUAAGAGAGUUUAAAGAACAUACCUCAGACUGUGCAUUAAACACUAGUGUUAAUCAUUGCCAGAAAGCCAAGGGUGGAAUGCACGUAAAUUGAACUUAAACCCAAACUUACUUUGCAGUACCUUGGACUCUAGGUCUUGCAAACAAUAAGCCCACGAACCCGGCACCCAGCACACAUGUGAGUGUCAGGAAUUUUCCAGUUCCAUUAUAAUUCUAAUAAUUUACCUUACUGUGCUACCGAGGUAUGACACUUCUGUUUCCUUAUCUACAAUAAAUGAAUUUGUCCACCUAUGUUUGGGUCGUGGUGAAAUCCAGUGUACUAUGCCUAGUGCCGUAUCAUCUCUGGGAGGAAGAGCUCACCAACUCAAUAUCUUUUUAAAUUGUACGCAAAAAUGAGAAAGUAAAAACAAGUUCUGCCUACCACAAGACUUUUAUAGCAUUAAAGAUACCUAUUUGACUAUACUC
rnacentral:lncRNA from 1 species